AGUGAACGCUGGCGGUAGGCCUAACACAUGCAAGUCGAACGGCAGCACAGUAAGAGCUUGCUCUUACGGGUGGCGAGUGGCGGACGGGUGAGGAAUACAUCGGAAUCUACUUUUUCGUGGGGGAUAACGUAGGGAAACUUACGCUAAUACCGCAUACGACCUACGGGUGAAAGCAGGGGAUCUUCGGACCUUGCGCGAUUGAAUGAGCGGAUGUCGGAUUAGCUAGUUGGCGGGGUAAAGGCCCACCAAGGCGACGAGCCGUAGCUGGUCUGAGAGGAUGAUCAGCCACACUGGAACUGAGACACGGUCCAGACUCCUACGGGAGGCAGCAGUGGGGAAUAUUGGACAAUGGGCGCAAGCCUGAUCCAGCCAUACCGCGUGGGUGAAGAAGGCCUUCGGGUUGUAAAGCCCUUUUGUUGGGAAAGAAAAGCAGCAGGUUAAUACCCCGCUGUUCUGACGGUACCCAAAGAAUAAGCACCGGCUAACUUCGUG
rnacentral:rRNA from 1 species